rnacentral:snRNA from 1 species
UUAAGUUGUUCAAUCCUAAACAUACUAGAACUGGAACAAUACAGGGAAGAUUAUCAUGGUUCCGUGCGCAAGGAUGACACGCAAAAAAGGUCUUCAAGCUGUGA